rnacentral:rRNA from 1 species
ACAGAGGGUGCGAGCGUUAAUCGGAAUUACUGGGCGUAAAGCGCACGUAGGCGGCUACGUAAGUCAGGUGUGAAAUCCCCGGGCUCAACCUGGGAACUGCAUUUGAGACUGCGUAGCUAGAGUAUGGGAGAGGAAGGCGGAAUUCCCGGUGUAGCGGUGAAAUGCGUAGAUAUCGGGAGGAACAUCAGUGGCGAAGGCGGCCUUCUGGCCCAAUACUGACGCUCAGGUGCGAAAGCGUGGGGAGCAAACAGG